rnacentral:rRNA from 1 species
AGCAAUGAAUAAAGUAAGAAAGGGUAGGAUAUCAUGAUGAUACAGAUUAUUAUAAAGCUGUUUCAUUAAUCUAUUUUGAGUUAUCCUUUGGAACUAUAAAUUUAUUAAUGAAUACUCUCUUUUGAUUUGUUUGAGAACAAUAAAAAACCCGUAACAGUUCAUUUUGCUACGGGUUUUUACUUUGUUAGAGUUUGCUGUUAUUUGGUAUAAAUUGAGAGUUUAGGAUGAUCCUUGUAAAGGUUUUUGUUCGCCAGCUCUUCCGAAUCCGUAAUUCGGUACAAAUAAUAUUUACUGUUUGGACAGAAUGCACUUUUAUCGGGGAAAUUGAAGAAACGAUGUCCUUGAGUCUUUUUCUUCAGGGUGUGAGUUUGUCCGUUUUCAUCAGUGUAAAUAUAGUCAAUGGGACCUUCGGGAUAUGCUUUGCGGACUACAGCCUGUUGGUUACGGAUAAUGUCUAUCAAACUGAAUCCUUCACCCCAUAAUUCUUUACGGCGUUCUAACCAAAUUGUUUCCAAUAGGUCUUGUUGUGAAAGAUUUGUAUUAAUGGUUUUUGCUCCUCUGGCUGUUUUUAAAUCAUUUAAUUUGUUAAUUGCAUCUGGGUCAUUCAGAUGUGCUUUUGCCUCUGCAUUUAUCAAAUAAAUUUCAGCAACGCGCAUCAAUACGAUAUCACCAAGUUGGUUUUCGAUAUCGCGGAAUCUGAAUUUAGAGUUACGCAUCCAUACAUAGGCUGCUGAUUCAACGUCAGCUCCCGGAUCUGUAGCCCAGAACAGCAUUUCUUUACGAUAAUCACCAUCUUCGAACAAAUCACGGAAGUAAGGGUCUACAUUGAAGCUAUAAUAGUAUGAUCCUUUAGUUGUAGUAUCUAAAUAAUGAAACUGAUAACUGGCAUUACUUUGAUCGUUGGUUUGAGCAUGCCCCCAAAUCCAUUCUUUAUUGUCUACAGAAUUGAAUCCAGCUUUAUAUUCACUUUCAGUCAUUAGAUAAUUGUUUUUAGCUAACAAUUUGUCUGAGUAAGUUUUAGCUUUUUCCCAUUGACGAGCAUAAAGACAGGCACGUGAGAGAAUACCUAGGACAACUUCAUUAUCAAUUUUGUGUUUGGCGUUACGUACAUAAGUUUCGGGAAUAAGUUCUAAUGCUUCUUCUAAAUCAUUGAUAGAUUGCGCAUAUACUUCACUGACACUUGAUGCAGGUUUUCCUUCAGCUGCAAUUGUUUCAUCUGUUGAUUGUGUAUAGAUAGGUGCACAUACAGCAUCUGGAUCUUUAUCAAUGGCAAAAGAAUAACAAGAAGCUAGAUGUAAAUAUAGAAAACCACGUAAGGCUAACGCUUGUCCCUUGAUUCGAUUUCUGUCAAUUUGUGUACUAGCAUUGCCCUAGGGCGGUGCGGAGCCGAUGUUGGGAUACCACCCUUCUGUUGCUGAGAUUCUAACGCGAGGAGUAACGACCCUGCGGACCCUCUCAGGCAGGCGGUUUGACUGGGGCGGUCGCCUCCGAAAGAGUAACGGAGGCGCCCAAAGGUUCCCUCAGGCCGGACAGAAACCGGCCGAAGAGUGCAAAGGCAGAAGGGAGCUUGACUGCGAGACCAACAAGUCGAGCAGAGACGAAAGUCGGGCUUAGUGAUCCGGUGGUACUGGGUGGAAAGGCCAUCGCUCAACGGAUAAAAGCUACCCUGGGGAUAACAGGCUAAUCUCUCCCAAGAGUUCAUAUCGACGGGGAGGUUUGGCACCUCGAUGUCGGCUCAUCACAUCCUGGGGCUGAAGUAGGUCCCAAGGGUUGGGCUGUUCGCCCAUUAAAGUGGUACGCGAGCUGGGUUCAAAACGUCGUGAGACAGUUUGGUUCAUAUCCAUCGCGGGCGAAAGAAGUUUGAGAGGAGCUGCUCCUAGUACGAGAGGACCGGAGUGGACGGAUCAACGGUGUCCCAGUUGUCACGCCAGUGGCACGGCUGGAAAGCCGCAUCCGGGAAGGAUAAACGCUGAAAGCAUCUAAGCGCGAAGCCAACCUCAAGAUGAGACUUCUCAUCAGCAAUGAGUAAGACCCCUUACAGACGAUGAGGUAGAUAGGUUAUGAGUGGAAGAGCCGCAAGGCUUGGAGCGACAUAAAACUAAUAGGUCGAGGUCUUAACU